UUUAUUCCAUUGAUACUUUCCUACUUGCUAUUUCCUUUUCUUUGGUGUGCUCUGCUGUCUGCAUAACCCAUUUAUUUACACUUUCUAUUCUCUGUCAAUACACUGUUUACUAAUUUAUACUCUAAUCCUACCCAUUGCAAUAAUUUAAUUUUGCUCUUCUACAUUUCGCAAUACAAUACUAUAAACUCGGGAUUUUAAAGGACUCUUGCUCUUCAUAACGCACCUUUCUCUCAAUU